GACGAACGCUGGCGGCGUGCUUAACACAUGCAAGUCGAACGAAGAGCGAUGGAAGCUUGCUUCUAUCAAUCUUAGUGGCGAACGGGUGAGUAACGCGUAAUCAACCUGCCCUUCAGAGGGGGACAACAGUUGGAAACGACUGCUAAUACCGCAUACGAUCUGACCUCGGCAUCGAGGAUAGAUGAAAGGUGGCCUCUACAUGUAAGCUAUCACUGAAGGAGGGGAUUGCGUCUGAUUAGCUAGUUGGAGGGGUAACGGCCCACCAAGGCGAUGAUCAGUUGCCGGUCUGAGAGGAUGAACGGCCACAUUGGGACUGAGACACGGCCCAGACUCCUACGGGAGGCAGCAGUGGGGAAUCUUCCGCAAUGGACGAAAGUCUGACGGAGCAACGCCGCGUGAGUGAUGACGGCCUUCGGGUUGUAAAGCUCUGUUAAUCGGGACGAAAGGCCUUUUUGCGAAUAGUGAGAAGGAUUGACGGUACCGGAAUAGAAAGCCACGGCUAACUACGUG
rnacentral:rRNA from 1 species